rnacentral:lncRNA from 1 species
CUAUUAUUAUCUGUUGUGUGCGUAAUAUUGAUUCAUGGCUGUUAGACCCAGGGGAUGUUGCUCCUUACCCCUCUUAAAGAAGGGUAGAGCUCCUAGAAGACACUCUUGCCUUUAUCCUCCCCCAUCCUUUCAGGGGCAAUGGCGACCCAGUGAAAAUCAAUCUCAUUCUGCAUAUGGAGAAACCAGAGCUUGGUGCCUCUCCACUCCCCAUGCUGACUCAUCAGCCUUGGCUCAGAGCCUCCUGCUUUAAAUCACUGCGGGAAUGCAUGAAAAAGCCUCCCUGCCUGACAUCCUUUAUUUUAUUUAUUUUCUACAGCCAUUGUGGAAUCUGUAUGCUGAUGGAAAUCCUGCAAGCGCGACACUUACCUCAAAUCAACACUGGUAUUUGUAGUCAUGAUACUCCAGUCAAGGCACGGCUUCCUUAUUAAUAAGAAUUCAGUGAACUAGAGAAUAGAUAAUCGCAAUGAUAUGUUCUCCUUUAAAUCACAAUGCCAUUGGUUCUGAGAGUAAAGGAGUGGGUUUUGUUGUGUUUUGUUUUGUUUUGUUCGAGAGUAAAUUUGCUUUCUCCUACAAGUGAGUUCAGAGCAAAGGCUGUAUCUGUGCAACUGUGUUAACUUCUCAUUUUAAAUAAUGAAAUUGUUGCUGCUCUUGCUUAUUCUCAGGUCCCAAUGCAGUUGCUUCCAUUCUCAGCCAAGAACAUCAUUAUUAGGCUGGUAAGGAAAAACCAUUGCACUCAUAGGCUGGAGGAAGCAGAGGAGGGGAGGUCCAAGCUAUCAGCUCCAUGGGUUAGUGCCACAGCUAAUGCUCUGAGCUCCUACUUCCUGGUGCCUUUUGCUUCCUACAGCCUUGAUCAGCUCAACUCUCAGGUGAGGGUGGGGGGAGGGGACUUUUUAUAUCUAUAGAGGCAGUUUCUGUGAAGAGGUGCUGUGACCUGUAGCACCUCUGUGACCAUGUCUGAGACCCCCUGCUCUUAAGAGUUCAUUAGGAAACCAUGAAGCAGGAGGCAGCUUCUCCAGUUCCCCCUAUGUAUUUUGAAUCCUUGAUAAUCCAGCUGUGGAUGAGGUGCAGGGGACUGGCAGGUUCCUGAUGGAUGCUUUCCGCAUCGUAAUUCCUCAGCCCAUAGCUCAUCAGACCCAGAAGGGAUUGCCCCUGAGAGCCAUUCAGGGCUGAAUAAGCCCUGGCUCAUAGCACAGGUGGGCUCCCCAUAUUAGAAGUGAGGUCCCUAUUCUGCCCAUGAGAGAGCUAUUGGUGCUGGGACCAUUUCAUGGCACAGCUGUUCUGGAAUAAACCUGUGUUUUAAUCUCGGAGCUAUUCCUAUCUCUCCCUCUGCCCAUUUGGGAAUGUGUCUCUUUAAAAAGGGCACAGAACUGAACACUUUAGAUUCUAACUGCAAAUGCUAUUUCUACUAAGUACAUGUAUAUCCUCUCUUCAUUUUUAUUUAUGUCCUUGUUUCCGAGGAAUAAUCAGUUUGAGACUCAUCAACACAAUAAAACCCAGAGAGACAGCCAGAGGCAAAUUCAGUUUGGGGGGUGGGGGUGGGUUUAGAAAAGACCCAUCAUCUCCAAGCCCCUCGAUUCGUAUUUAUCUCUUCUUGUAAGGCACAAUACCAGGAAGCUCAUGCAAUCCCUGGAAAGAAGCUCUUGAUACAGAAUGACAAGGCUCUGUGCCUCCAGGGGUCUUCGAUCAUAGAUUUUCAUCAUCAUCUGAAAUGGUCCCUCUCCUCCUCUCUGCUUGGCACUCACUCUCCCAAAGAGAGGAGACAGGCUUCCCAUAGGGGCCACCCAAACUCAUUCUGCUCAGCAAAGGCUCAUCAUGGGCUUCCUCAUUUCUCUGGGCGAGCAAGCUGCUUGCCUCUCCUCCCCUCCAGGCUACUAGCCAGGCUGAAGGGAAGCCUGCCAGGGUGCACAGGGAAGCUCCCACAGUGGGGUGGGCUGCUCCCUCCCAGGGACUGUUGUCCUGUGCAGUUGUGUGUGUGUGUGUGUGUUGCUUUCUCCAGUCUGCUCUUAAUCAUGUUGGUAUUAAAAAUGGAUUCCGAGGAGCAUUCCCCAAAGGAGUUUGUUGUGCUCACUACUCUUCUGCUUUGAAGAGAGCCCCACCAUCCUUGUAUCCAGCCUCCCCAAGCAGCCAAGCCGACAGAACAGGGACGGCUGUAGUUCUAGACUCGGGCAGACUACCAACAGCUGCACAGUUAAUUAUGGCGCUCUCCCUCUCUUUAAAAAAAUCUCAGCUUUAGAAAUGAAAGAUAAGAAAUUCUUUGGAGUAAUUAGAGACUGCUGAGCGCUCAUGGUAAUAAUGAGGGACUACUUUCAGACUGAUUCACAGCAGGAAGAGGCAGGGAGAGUCGGUGAUGCAGGUUAAAAAAAAAUAAUUAAAAUCAGCUUUGCUACUAUCUCGGCGGAGCUGUCAGUCAGCCUCAGAGAGAAAAGAAUUGCUAAUGAAAUAUUAAUAUGCCGCCUUGGAUUUCCCAUAACCGCCUUUGUUCCCAGGUACUGUUCCCAUUUGUAAGGCAAAGGGGUUAGGUGUGAAAGGGCACGGGAGCCAGCUUGGUCAAGGAGGAAAUGAGAACUCUCUGACAUGGAAAACACUUGGCCUCAGAAAGGAUGCACUGGAGCCUAGUAGGAGCAGCCUGCAACCUGGUCCCAGCCUGGAGCCUGGCCACACUGCCCCAGCUGCUGUGUGCUUGAAGGAGCAACGCCUUCGCCCCCUCCCCAUCCCCCGCCUCUCUCCCCAACCCAGGUUGACAGACACUGAAUGUCAGCAAUCAUCAUGGCACAACCAGUGCAAGUUUUAUAAUAUCUCUAAGUGGUUUUGAAGUCUGCAGAUGCCAGACGGUUUCAAAAUCUCACAGAAAUUGUAUCGUGCAGGUUGUCUUCAGACAAGACGCAGCCCCCGAUGUCUUUUUGUUCCAUUAAGUCAAUCACUCAGAGCUAUGAUACAAACUAUAUGACAGGGUUGGGAAGCCUUGUGUGUGAAGAUGUGUGUGCAUGAAUAUGCUUAUAUGUGCCUUGUGUGAGCAUAUCCUGAAAUCACCCCAGCAUUCAAAGGUUCUUCAGAAGCUUGAAAUACAUUCUGUGAGAAAUGGUUCAGAUACCCACUGUGUGUCAGAGUGUGUCCAGAAGCUGAAAUGCCAAAAAGGUGAGGACUGGUCACACAGAGCCUGCAGCAGGGAUACCCAUGAGAAGCCUUUCUUAAGGGUGCAUCUUGGUUUUUUGCCUAGCUUCAAUGAAAUCUGGGAGACUAAGGAAGAGCAUCUGAGGGAAAUACUGGGUGAUUUUAUCUGAAGUUGGACACAAGGCAAAUAAGAUAUGCAUGGCAAGUGGAAAUGGCAAUGCUAACAACAAUAAUAAUUGUAAUAAUAAACUUUUAAGCCUGAGGACAGAAGCCAGUGAUAGCUUAGUUCCAGCACUGUCUCCUGGAGCUGGCUUCUCAUCACUGUGAAAUGAACAGAGGCUCCCUCAGUCCUGUUGGAGUCUGUGAUCUGAGCAGAUUUGUUUGUUUGUUUGUUUGUUUUGUUUUUUGAGACAGGGUUUCUCUGUGUAGCCCUGGCUGUCCUGGAACUCACUUUGUAGACCAGGCUGGUCUUGAACUCAGAAAUUUGCCUGCCUCUGCCUCCCAAGUGCUGGGAUUAAAGGUGUGUGCCACCACGCCCAGCAAUCUGAGCAGAUGUAAGAAAGGCUUCUGUACUGGUUUGAUAUAGGUAUGACUCCCAUAGGCUCAGGUAUUUGAAUGCUUAGUCCUCAGGGAAUGAUCCUACUUGAG